AGAUCUUCAGGAACCUAGGAAAGCUGAGUGGCUUCCAUAUUGCACAUCACAUAGGUUUGCUCUAUAUAUACCCAAGACAUCCAUCAAUAAAAAAAAUCUUCCCGGGAUCCCAGCGUCGGCCUCUUCCAUGGCGGCUCCAGCACCGGGACGCAUUGCGAAUGAAUGUAAUAUUCCGCUAAGAGCUCAAGGCCAUAAAUGUCAAUCACAUGCCACCGCUCGGCCAUGCAAUUCAAUCCAUACAAAUUAAGAAUCGUCCUAGGAGAGCUAUCCUUGAAGAGAAGCUUCUUCAGCUAAUAUUUCAUCCUCCUGGAGAUCGUCCUUGAUGGAAGAUAACAGCAAGACACUUCCCCCAGUCUUUCCAAGGAAAGUGGAAAAGACUCGAAAUAUGAUUCCCGAGCAAAGAGAAAAUAAAAAACAUGUGAUUUAUCGGAGCAGGAGUGUGCGUAUGGCGA